UUCAUACAUAUCAUUAUUUAAUACUUCCUUUGAUUUGGACAACUCAUCACCCACUUCCUCUAAUGUGUGCACUCAUCACCACAAGUGUUGCCCACAUCCCACAUCUAGAAUGCACCACCUUAGUGAUGAUGAAACCCAUGUGCCUUGGAAAUAAGGCUAAGAUGCACCAAUUCCCAUCCAUUGGAUCAAAAUGUGUCUACUUGAUCCUAACCAUUCAUUCUCUUAUAAAUAGAACCAAGGUGGAAGAUGCAAUGCCCAUUAAGCUUCACUCACACACACACCUAAGGCCAAGAGAGAAAAUUGUGGGAUUUGUGUAGUCUUGUGUUGUUCAAGGCUUGAAGUGUAUGCUAGGAAGUAUUUUGGAAAAGAAGUUUAAAGGAACUACACGAAGAAGAGGGUUAAUAGAUAAAGACCAGAGCUCAAGAGGUUUUAUAGCUAAGGACGCAUAGUUUAUAUUUUGUUUGUAGUCUUCUGUGUUUAUAGUAUUUUAUGUUGACAAGAUUGCUAAUGAUUUAUAUGUAUUCUUUUGUGUCAUUAUGGACACCUGUUUCCUUGUAUUUGUUAUAAGUAUUUUCUAAUGAAUAUCUAGAGGUAUUUAAU